rnacentral:piRNA from 1 species
UAGAAAAGUCUGUAUGUUUAGGGGAGCCC